rnacentral:rRNA from 1 species
CCUACGGGUGACAGCAGUGGGGAAUAUUGGGCAAUGGGCGCAAGCCUGACCCAGCAACGCCGCGUGAAGGAAGAAGGCUUUCGGGUUGUAAACUUCUUUUGUCAGGGAAGAGUAGAAGACGGUACCUGACGAAUAAGCCACGGCUAACUACGUGCCAGCAGCCGCGGUAAUACGUAGGUUGCAAGCGUUGUCCGGAUUUACUGGGUGUAAAGGGCGUGUAGCCGGGUUGACAAGUCAGAUGUGAAAUCCUGCGGCUUAACCGCAGAACUGCAUUUGAAACUGUUGAUCUUGAGUACUGGAGGGGCAGAUGGAAUUCCUAGUGUAGCGGUGAAAUGCGUAGAUAUUAGGAAGAACACCAGUGGCGAAGGCGGUCUGCUGGACAGCAACUGACGGUGAGGCGCGAAAGCGUGGGGAGCAAACAGGAUUAGAUACCCCAGUAGUC